rnacentral:rRNA from 1 species
AUAAUAUUCCAUAAUUGAGAAUGCCUGGAAUGGUUUCUCAUUGAAAGAUCGAUUCGAAUGGGAGUCGUUUCGCCAUAGGAUAGGAUUGCGCCCGAUUAUGGUAGUUGGUGAGGUAAUGGCUCACCAAGCCUAUUAUCGGUAAGGGCCGUGAGAGCGGAAGCCCUGAGAUGGGUACUGAGACAAUGACCCAGGUCUUACGAGACGCAGCAGGCGCGAAAACUUCACAAUGCACGAAAGUGUGAUGAGGUUACCCGGAGUGCUACAUAGUAGCUGUUGUGGGUGAGUAAGAUUCCCCACCAGAAAGGAGAGGGCAAGGCUGGUGCCAGCCGCCGCGGUAAAACCAGCUCUUCAAGUGGUCGGGACUUUUAUUGGGCUUAAAGUGUCCGUAGCCGGUUUAGUAAGUUCCUGGUUAAAUCAGAUAGCUUAACUAUUUGUCAGCUAGGAAAACUACUAUACUAGGGGGCGGGAGAGGUCUGAGGUACUCCAGGGGUAGCGGUGAAAUGCUAUAAUCCUUGGGGGACCACCAGUGGCGAAGGCGUCAGACUGGAACGCGCCCGACGGUGAGGGACGAAAGCCAGGGGAGCGAACCGGAUUAGAUACCCGGGUAGUCCUGGCUGUAAACGAUGCGUGCUAGGUGUUGGUAUGGCUAUGAGCCGUAUCAGUGCCGUAGGGAAACCGUUAAGCGCGCCGCCUGGGGAGUACGGUCGCAAGACUGAAACUUAAAG